CACGUAGGGCGCGAGCGUUGUCCGGAAUUAUUGGGCGUAAAGAGCUCGUAGGCGGUCAGUCGCGUCUGCUGUGAAAACUCGGGGCUUAACUCCGGGCCUGCAGUGGGUACGGGCUGACUAGAGUGCGGUAGGGGAGGACUGGAAUUCCUGGUGUAGCGGUGAAAUGCGCAGAUAUCAGGAGGAACACCGGUGGCGAAGGCGGGUCUCUGGGCCGUAACUGACGCUGAGGAGCGAAAGCGUGGGGAGCGAACAGG
rnacentral:rRNA from 1 species